UUGAAACACCGGUUCCUGUACGAUCACCGAAGUUGAGCAACGUCGAGCCUGGUCAGUACUUAGAUGGGUAACUGCUCGGGAAUACCAGGAACUA